AUAGUUACCUGGCAGGGGAGACACCAUGAUCAUGCAGGUGGUUUUCCCAGGACAAGGCUCUCCAUUGCACUGUGGAAGUGCUGACCCCUGCAAUUUCCACAAAUGUGGGAAACUCAACUGCAUAAUUUGUGGCAACGGGGGACUGCGUUUGCGCCAUCCCCUG